rnacentral:lncRNA from 1 species
CAGCCCCCAGCUCCAGCACCUCCCACCCUGCACCCCCGGACACCCCCGGCCCCACAGCGGGCCCCCCAUGAAGGUAAGGACCCGACCCUAGGGGCUGAGCACCUCGGCGAGGGGGGACGCCGAGCGGUGCGCCUCGCUUCUCCAUGGUGCUGGGUUGGUUUUUUUUUUUGGGGGGGGGAUCCCCGUGGGGUUGGGGUUUUGGGGUUGGAGUGGGGGGGUCCCUGCGGUGCUGGCACCGUUCCCCAGCCCCUUCCCCAGCAGGACGAGGUGGAGCUGCUGGGUCAGGACGGGCACAUCUACAAGGGCCGGCGGGACCUGCGGCUGCCUGCGCUGGUGGGGAAGGACGGCACCCCCAGACCCCAGGAGUCACCCCACGGCCGCGUCCCCCAAGGACCGGGGCUCCCCUCGCCCCCGUGGGCGCCGCGGGAUGGGAGAGAGACCCCAAGAGCGGAGAGGGGCCGGGGGGGCUCGGCUGGGAGCCCCCCCUGGGCACCACACGGGGGGGUCGGGCAGGAGCAAUAAAGGGCGGUGGAUGGGCAGCUAGGAGCGAGGUUGGUUUGGCCGUCACGUCCCUGCUGCGGGAUCACGGGGGGCUCGUUCCCUGCUGCGGGGCUGCCUCCAUCCCCGCGGCCCUAUAUCCGUGCCCCUCCACGUCCUUACAUCCCAAAUCCUUCCAUCCUUUCCACCCUACAUCCUACAGCCCUUUGUCCUCGCAUCCCUACAUCCUCACCUCCUUAAAUCCUUAAAUCCACCCAUCCCCACCUCCUCACAUCCUUAUAUCCUACAUCCUUUCCUCCCUACACCCUUCCAUCCCUAUUUCCCUACACCCCAACCCACACCCCCAGCCCCCCCUACACGCGCCCCCAUCACCUCUGGCUGCGUUUUUCUGCUUGGGGUGGCACCCCCCCGGCCAUCCCAGGUUAUGGGAAUGCCACCAAAAUCCCCAAAUCCUUUGUGCAGAGAGGGGCCAGACCCCACAGCAGCCACGUGGGGUUUCUUUACCCACGGGGUGUUUUAUGGGGCCGGGUUUAUUGCUGCGGUGCCGGUGGUUCCCCACCUCGAGGUGCUGGCUCGGGGGGGUGCUUUGGGUCCCCCUCUUUUAGGGUCACCUCUCCCGUGCCCAGAAACCACGGGGGGAUCCCCUGUGUUAUCCUGGGUGUCCCCUCCUCCUUUGGCCCCACACAGCCCCCCUCUUGGUGCGUUGUCCCAAUGGGUUUGGUCUUUAGGGGGGGGGAAAUAGGGGCUAAAAUCCUGCUUUUGGGGGGGUCCCCACGGGCAGAGCACCCCAGGGCCCUACCCCAGUGGGUCUGGGGUCCCCCGGUGCCACCUCUGGGGCCAAAAUGGGGAAAACCCAGAGAAAAGCAGCCAGCAAAGGGCAGCCCUGACCCUAAUCCCGUUUGUGGGACGAGGCCCAGCUGGGCUCCGGGCUCACCCACCCCAUACACACACAGUGGGACCCAGCUGCGCCUCCCAGUUCCCCCAUAAACCCCAGCACCCGGGGGGGGCCCUCCUUUAGCCAUGGGUGCUGCCGGCUCUGGAGCGGGUGAGUGGCCCCAGUGGGGGCUUUUUUUUUUUUCUUCCCCUUUUUUUGUCUUUGGGGUCCCCAUCCCAGCUGGUGCGUCCCUAUAGGAUCGGGGCUGCGUGCCCCAGCCCUUGCUGGUGUCCCCCAGGGGGUCCCCAAAGAGCCCUUGGGGUGCUGGCAGGGGUCUGGCUGUGUCUGCGAGAGGGGAUGUUUGGGAAACCCCAUCCUGAGAGUGGGGUUUGCCUAAAAACACUGGGAACAGCAGGAAAACCCAGCGGUGCCAGCCCCGAUCCCCAGCUUUUGGGGACAGCGGUCACAGGGACACGUGCUGGCUCCGGAUGGCACCGAUCCCACAGCGCCUGGUGGGGCUGGGAGACCCCCGGGAGAUCCCCCAGGAACCAGACCCUACAGGGACAGGAUCCCCCAGAGAUCAGAUCCUACAGGGACCAGCCCCCAUGGGUGUCCCCAAGUCCCCCCUGGGUGUCCCCAAAUCCCCAAGGUCACCCCCUCGUAGCACAGAGAGAGGUCGGGGACAGCUGCUGUUAAAAAACUGAUUUUUUUUUUUUUAUUAUUUUUAAAUUAAUAAAAAACCUUCAACCUGUUUUCCUUUUUUUUUU